GUGGCUCAGUGGUAGAGUGCUUGCUUCAUAUGCAUGAGGUCCUGGGUUCAAUUCCUCAGC
rnacentral:tRNA from 1 species